rnacentral:lncRNA from 1 species
GCUUUUAUACUUUUUUCUUUGGUAAUAGUUAAUAAUCCUAAUAAUGAAAUCACACAAAAAGUUAAAAAGAAAAGAAAACUUAAAAUUUUCACUUAAGGAGAAAUAAAGAAUUACAUUUGAACUAUCAAAGCUCGCCCGAAUACAAAUGCAGAAUCAAACCCGAAUUCGAAACUUCUACUUUCAAAGGUCAGAAAAAGCCGAUUGCAGCUUCUUGUAAAUCGAGUUAAAAGUAUUCGAGUCCGACAAUCACCUAACUUCUGCUUCUUCGAUGCGCGGGACAAGCAAAUUCAAUCAUUUUAAUUUUGUCACAUAGCUUCAUGCCAAUGUACCAUGCUAAAUUCUCUGCCUCUUGCCAUCUAAUGAAGAUUGCUUCCUCCUCCAGCCACAACUAACACAGAAAGCUCAAAAUGGCUUAUUAUGAAUGCAUUUGGAAUGUAUUAAUUGGGAGUUACUUAUGCAAGGAAACUUUUGUGACAAGGGCAUUAUUCCACUUGUUUCUUUUUGACUUAUCCACUAAACCAACCAAAAGUUCAAAGCAUCUGCUCACUUGUGAUGAUGGGUAACUUCUCUCAAGGUAAGAACAUGAACAUUUGCUUCAUUUGUUUUCUAACUUGUGAUGAUGUGAACUUGUGAUGAUGUGAUCUAAAUCUGUAUCUUGUGUCCGAGUUGUGUCCCCAAGUCACAAGGAUGUGUUGCUAAGUAGAGCUAUUCAAAAAUAAGCACUAGUAGUUUUUCUAUUAAAAGCUUUCCGGCAUCUUUUUUGUUGCUACGGAAGCAGAGUUUCCAAACACUUAUCAUAUUUUCUAGGGUAAACUUCAAAUACUAUCCAUGCUUUCGCACUUUCUCACUUUAGUACUCUGUGAUUUAAAGUGUAUCUAGUUAGUAUCCAAUGAUUUUAUUUUUAUCUUUUCGUCAGCUUUUCCGCUAAUAUUUCGUUAAAUUAUAUACAAAAAACUUCAGAUACCCCACCUAGAUUUAUCGAAUAUUUGCUUUAGUACCCUUUAGUUUUAACUUUGUUACUUAUUUAACGAAAAAAAUUAGUGAAAUCGAUAAUAAAAAGAUAAAAAUAAAAUCACAGGACACUAAAUUGAUACACUUUAAAUCAUAGAGUACUAAAGUGAGAAAAUAUGAAACCACAUAGAUGGUAUUUAAAGUUUUCCCUAUUUUCUAAUUUGUCAAAUGUUUGUCGUUAGCUUUGCAAACUAGAGAAGCUAUUCCAAAAGCCCAACUCCCAUGAGACACUUAACUAUUGUAUUUGGAUGUAUUAAAGAUCUCAUUCAGUAUAUCCCUUCAAUUUCCUCAAAAAAGAUGUAAUAUUUGGUAGAUGAUGUAUGCGAGUAAUGUCCAGAAUUGAAUAUCAUAUUCGGCCUUCAAGUUAUUUUUUUCGAAAUAACAUAAUCAUCUCAUACAUGAAAUACACCAUCCUAUCAAAUCAAGAUGUCAAGACUUUUCAAGGAGUAAAAAUCAAAGUUCUUGCCUCCAAUCAUACAAGAAAAUUUCCAUAGAGAAUAAGUUAUCACUACAUAUCUUAUUCUAACUUCUAAAUAGGACCUAAAUGUUGUACACAUCAAAAUCAUUGCGAAAAAUUUAUUGCGCGAGAACAUCAAAUUUGCGCAAACAAUAAUAUACUCCGCCCAAGGAUAGAAUGCGGCAAAAAUUGCAGAUCAUAUUGUAGUUUAACCCUAGAAUUUCACUUUGAUUGUCCAUGUCAAUGAUAUCUUAUGUUCUAUGUAAUCAAAUCAUCCUCCUAACUAAAUCAGAUGCUUUUGUGGAGUGUUCAAUCAAACAUAAAGAGCAAUUAUCAACAAGGCAAGGUUUUAGAACCAUUUUUGCGAUAACUAAACUUAUCAAAGGGAAGUAAUAUUCUAGCAAUAAUUGAUCGAUAACAGAUUCACAAAUAGCUGCUCUACAGAAAGAGAGAGAUAAAACAACUCUAGAAACAAACAAAAAAGGGGGGUUGUCUAAGUAAAUUGUACAAAGUGUAAAUCAAAUUGAGUUACCCUAAAAGCAUUCAACUGUGGUAAAAUUAAGCCAUAAGAAUACUAUUCCUCUCGUGUUGUCGAUGUUGUUGCUUGUACUGGCCAUAAACUGUUUAUAAACUGAGCAUGCAAUACUUUGUCAUAUAUAGGGAAAGCAAAAACAAAAUCAUGAAAGAAUCAUUAAUAUACCUGUUUUUUCCUCUCCCUUUAAAGAAAAAGUGUCAAAGGAAAUCUUUCAAAGCAAAUCAUAAAUAUGAAGUAAUCCAAUUUGCAAGGUACGAACAACAAAAGUCGAACUCGGAGAACUCUAAAAUCAAAUCACGGGACAAUAAAACCAUAGGAACAGCUGUGAAACCACUGUUUUCCUUCCUUUAUGUCUCACAGCCAUGAUCAUUAAAAGCCACUAGGUGGGGACAUGUUACCUUUUGUUCUUAGUGUAAGUGCCGUGACAAUGUACAGAAACAUUAGAUGCGUCAUCGCUAUCGG